UGGGGAAUAUUGGACAAUGGGCGAAAGCCUGAUCCAGCAAUGCCGCGUGUGUGAAGAAGGUCUUCGGAUUGUAAAGCACUUUCGACGGGGACGAUGAUGACGGUACCCGUAGAAGAAGCCCCGGNUAACUUCGUGCAAG
rnacentral:rRNA from 1 species